rnacentral:pre_miRNA from 1 species
GGGAGAUUAGUCUAGAGCAGAUUAGUCUGAUAUAGGCGUCUUACUCCGGAGUACAACCAAUUUUAUGAAAAAUCAUCAAUUUGAUGUAUUCUGCGUUGAGACC